CGAUGUACCCAGGACUCGAACCUGGAGCCUUUGCCACCGGAAAGCAACGCGCUAGCCAUUGCGCCAGCACACC
rnacentral:tRNA from 1 species